UGCGAGAGUGGCGGAACUGGCAGACGCGAGGGACUUAAAAUCCCUUGGCCGAAAGGCCGUGCGGGUUCGAUUCCCGCCUCUCGCACCAC
rnacentral:tRNA from 1 species